rnacentral:tRNA from 1 species
GAGGGUAUAGUUUAGUGGUAGAGCGCAUGCUUAGCAUGCAUGAGGUCCUGGAUUUAAUCCCCAGUACCCCA